AAUCAACGCUGGCGGCGUGCCUAAGACAUGCAAGUCGAACGAUUAAACUUCCCUUUGGGGUCGAUGUAAAGUGGCGCACGGGUGAGUAACACGUAGGUAAUGUCCCUUUGGGUGGGGAGUAUCUCUGGGAAACUUCAGCUAAUAUCGCAUAAUGCAGCGGCUCCUUCGGGAGACAGUUGUUAAAGAUUUAUCGCCUAACGCGCAGACUGCGGCCGGUUAGCUAGUUGGUAAGGUAUCGGCUUACCACAGCUCCGAUCUGUAGUCGAGCUGGGAGGGUGGUCCGACACACCGACAGUGAGUAACGGGUGAGACUCCUACGGGAUGCAGCAGUCGUGAAUGGUGGACAAUGGGCGAAAGGCUGACCCAGCAACGCCGCGUGAAGGAUGAAGUCAGGCGGGAUGAAAUCUUCGUAAAAAUAGGAAGAAUAAAGGACGGGACUAUUAGAAAGGGCCGGCUAACUACGUG
rnacentral:rRNA from 1 species